GCUCCUCUACCCCAACAGGCAGAGGGAACCGGCUCAAACCCGGUGUAGUGCGAGUUCGAAUCUCGCGGGGAGCA
rnacentral:tRNA from 1 species